CCAGGUAGAAGAAUGCAGUUUUACUCUUUAUAUAAUGAGGGGAAAGUAACCAGGAUUUACAAGCUUCAACAGGAAAACAUGAAAAAGCCUGCUUAUCAGCAGCUGCCACCAGAGCACCAUUUUGAAAAGAGGCUCUACAGGGCAAGCUCCUUCCUUUGCUAGGCCAAGCCAUGUGGAGGAGGAGGAAUGACAACAGCAGGUACAGCACAUUCAGCUCGGGGCAGGUCAGCCACGUGCUCAGCGUGCUUCCAAGUACAGCUCCGAGGAAGAACAACACAAACACAUCCAGAGCUUGCUCCAGAUGGUGGGACAGGGAAAGCAGAACACGAUGGGGACACAAAUCACAUCCAUGAAACCAGAACGAGGUGGAAAACAAAGAGAACAGUGCCCGUUUUUCCGUCUUCCAAUUUGGAAAGCUUGCACUAUGGAAUAAUCUUGUCAUGAGGUUGUGAAGCUACAAAAACUAUUUUAGGAUUAAGUAACGGCCCUACCAACCCAGCCCACAGAACCAGCCCUCACUGGAUCAGUACAGGUUAUACUUUUCUGCCAAAACCAAGCAAAUAGUUCAGAAACUGAACCUGCCUAAAAAGCAGGGGGUCAUAUCUUCUCUGAUUAGUCUGGUUCCAAAUCUCCUUUGUGCCACACACACAUUUGUAUAUUUAGACAAGACUACCCAUGUGCAGAUAUAAACACUGGCAAAGAAGGAUGGACACAAGGAGAAGCAGUCUCUGGGAAUGAGGUGUGUCACUUUUUCUGCAACUCUCUUCAACAGGGUAUCAAGACGUGGCUGGACUCUGUAUCAUUUUUAUUCCUGCCUUUAGGCAGCCCUGUGCUUUCCCUCCUUUUACCUGUGAAGAAUAGAUUCCAGGGUCCCUAGCUGUCCUCCUCUAAGGAUUAAGCUUUCAUCCUGUAAAUCUGACUGCUGAAUGAUUCUUUCUGAACUGGCUUCAACACGGCCACCUUGGGGGACCGUGCUCAAGGGGACUCUGACACCUGCUGAAGUAAAUGCUCAAAUUAGACACAAGUACAGAUACAGAUAACAUGGCCUCAACCUCUGACCCAGCUAUUCCUUCUCUCCUUGCUCCACAUUCACCAGAGCCUGGGUGAAUGGCAGUUACAGCCCUUCCUGCUCUACAGACCUACAGCAAAAGCAAGUGGGCAUCACUUAGGCAUCCUAUCAAACCUAUUCUGAAGAACAGGGAGAAGAAAAGAGAUGGUGGGAAUGUGGAACAAGACUGGACAGGAAGAAGACAAAGAGGAAGAGAGGAAAAAAUAGCAAGAGAGACAGGAAAGUGAAAACACAUGUUUGAAGACAAGCACCAUGUCACAGUUAAGUUCCCAGAUUUUCUCAGACAAUAUCUUAAUGAUGACAGGCAUUAAAAACCCAGAAGCUUGCAAAUGGGCAAGGUGAGCAGACAACACCUGGAGGGACUCUCAAUGGAAACACUAAAAGUAAUCCACCACUAUCUUAUGGAAGUGGUUGCAGUUUAGGGAAAAGAGUAGGUAAGAAUGUCUGUUUCAACACCUUAAAUCAACAGCUUUUCUCACUGAUCUACCAUGGAAGAGGAACUCCAAAGCUCCAAAUAAGCCCUGCUCUCCUUCAUUAUGUUACUUAAGUGAGCAGCAGUGUUUACAGCAAUGGGAAGCCAAGCUUGGAAACUCUUAAAGUCAACAAUCUGGGUGCAGUUUUACUAACCUUCUACACCUGGGGUCCACACAGAGCCAGAGACUCCUCCCAUGCUGUAAGGGGCCCACCACAUGGGCAGCCAAUAAUUCACAGAGGGAAAGGACUCGUAAGAGUGCAGGACAAAGCUCUCCUGCCAGGGGCUGGCAGCAGCCCUGCUCACUGCUUCUCCAGGCAGCAGCACAGGAGAGCCAAAGCAGGUUCCUGGUUCCAUCACAGCCUCAGUGCCAGAAGGUACAGGUUGUUCAGAGCUGUGAGUGGUGAACAAAGCCAUGCUUGUUCCAGCUUCAUACAGCUCAGGGCUCUGCAUACAGCUGCAAUGAUGGAGAAAAUGAAUCAGCCAGAUUGCUUUGCCAGAAGGAGACCCCCAGCUAAACUUCUGAAUCCUGCCCUCCACAGCUGGGAGAUGAACUGCUCUGACUGGACAUGGAACAUUUCCACCAGUGGUGGCAAGGCUCCCAAGUGAUGUUCCCAAGGAACCGACAUGGAAGUCAAUUCCAUGAAUACAUGUAAAUGUUGCUUCAUUUCUGAACUGUCACUGUAAAGAUGCCAUACAUCACCUGGAUUGCAGCAUCUUUAAAUAUGUUCCUUCAGGAGGCUUAUACAGAGGUGCAGCUGUCUGUUCCCCUCCUGGCUCACAGGGCAUGUGGUUUAUCUCUAUUUGUUCAGGGCUGGUGCCCACAUGAGAUCCACCUGAAAGGUGCAGGCCAGGCAGGUAAACAAUGCUAAUGAUUACAACAAAAGGCAACAAAACAAGUCCCAUCUGCCACAUGCAGCAAGACCCCUGUGUUCCUUGUGAUUGAAGUUUGAUUAGUGUCUGUGGAAGGACAUGGAAAUACUGGGUUUUCCUGGAGUAUACUGCCCUUACUGCAAAAUCUGAGAGCUAAAACCUGCUGCUUCCCAUGUAUUUGCUUUAAUUUGGUGCCUCCUUAAAGCCAUGCAUCUCUUUUCACCUGUUGAUGCACAGGUUAGCAGUGUCUGCUCCUCUGGAGUGACAGCCUGGAGCCAACAAUGAGGCACUCCACUGAAGCAGAGUCCUCCAGCAUCCACUUGAUCCAUCAGCACAUAAUGAUGUUCUGAAGAAGCAAUAUCCUUCCCUUCCUGAGGGAAUUUAAAAUUGAUUUUCACCUCUCUGGACUACAUCCUGAACCCAUUAGGAAGAGACAAACCUGCAGUUUGUGGAGUGUUGGAUCCUUUAUCCUGUGGCUCAUUUCUGUGGGAAGCCAAAGCCCUCUCAGGACACGAGUUGUUGAGCUCUUCCGUAUGAAGGAGGCGGGAUUUUUGACGUCGUCGAUAAUUUGCAAACCAGUUAUAGACCUGAGUUGGCUGCAGGUUCAUGGCCCGAGCCAAUCCCUCCUGCAAACCCAGGUGCAGGGAGAAAUCAAAGGAAAAAAAAUCACAUCCAAAUGAUCAAGCAUUUCCCUUCAGUUCCAAAAGCAGUCCAGCAAGAGACCUUCCAAAGCCAGAGACAUUUACUCACUAGGUCUCCGAUAGACCUAGUGGAUCUGAUCAAGACCAUUUUAUAAACUCAGAGCUGAUAGAAAACACAAAUUCCACCCUGCUCUCCCAGACAAUCUGCUCAGGAAGCCACAGCUAUUCUGUGCUGCUCACCAGAUAAUACCCUCAACAAACCAUGCUCUUCCCACAGAAUGACAGCUUCACAGAGGUAGACAUUGGAGUCUGAAGCCUCACCUGGCAAGGUAGUGAUCAACAGUGCUUGUUGAUUUAAUUUACACAUCUCUUCCAUUACAAAUCUGUCCCUGUCCAAAGAAGGUAGAUCCAUGCAUACACCAACACAGCCUAUUGUGCUAUCACAUCAAAUUACCAGCAUUUUAAAAGUCAGCACAAAAUAUGUUCUGAUGAACAAAGGGCAAUUUUAUAUAGGCUGUUACUCAGUCAAGUCAGAACUAUCUGUCAUUGUAAUAGAGCUCUGCUGAGUGAUGGCUACUUGGCUGCCUAUGCUCAAUCACUACAAAAUUAAAACUGUUAAAAACCCAGUGAGGAAUUUAUUGCCCCUCAACUUUUUGUCCACACCAAGAGAAAUUACUUCGCAUGAACCUGAUGAUUUUUAAAAUAAAUCUUUAGGGAAAGAUAAAAUAUGAGGAAUCCCAGCCCCAGUGAGCCUUUUGAAAACAGGGAUUAUUUAGAAAUUAAACCAGUUAUAGACCCUAGAUUGCAGUGUCCUGCUUUUCUGUGCCAAAGAGACUUGAUUGGAAUAUCCCUAGCAUAUCCCUACCCGCUGUUUCUUGUCUGGAUUUGCUGUCACCUCUGCAGCAAACCUGUACAGGUGCUGGCGUACUUCUUCUGAAUAGUUUCGAUUCUUCAAACCUUCAGGACAAAGGGAAAUAGGUGGAGGAUUCCUGUACACAGGAGAAAAUGGGAUUAAAAAGGACCCAAAAGGAAUAAUUCACAUUCAUGGCAAUUUUCUCACUUUGCCACAAGUGGUCAAAAUACCAAGAAAAACCAAGCUCCAAGAAGCAGCAC